rnacentral:sRNA from 1 species
GCAGCUGGUCCUGCAGCUCGUGGCGGGGAUCUUGCACCUGGGGAACAUCAGUUUCUGCGAAGACGGGAACUAUGCCCGAGUGGAGAGUGUGGACCUCCUGGCCUUUCCCGCCUACCUGCUGGGCAUUGACAGCGGGCGACUGCAGGAGAAGCUGACCAGCCGCAAGAUGGACAGCCGCUGGGGUGGGCGCAGCGAGUCCAUCGAUGUGACCCUCAACGUGGAGCAGGCAGCCUACACCCGUGACGCCCUGGCCAAGGGGCUCUAUGCCCGCCUCUUCGACUUCCUCGUGGAGGCGAGUGGGGCUGGGGCUGGAAGGCAAAGUGGAUGCUCUGGGGUCACAAACAUUUAUGGAGGCUGAGUGCAGUGGCUCACAGCUGCAAUCCCAAUGCUUUGGGUGGCUGAGGUGGGAGCAUCCUUUGAGGCCAGAAGUUCAAGAUCAGCCUGGGCAACACAGCAAGACCCCCAUCUUUACAGAAAUUUCAAAUUAGUUGGGUGUGGUGGUGUGCACUUGUAGUUCUAGCUACUCAGAGGGCUGAGGUUGGGGGAUCAUUUGAACCCAGGAGGUUGGGGCUGCAGUGAGCUAUGAUUGCGCUAUUGUACUCCAGCCUGGGCAACAGAGAGAGACUCUGUCUCAAAAUAAAUAAAUUAAUUAAAUUAAAUUAAAACUUUU